UGGGGGAUAUUGCACAAUGGGCGCAAGCCUGAUGCAGCAACGCCGCGUGAGGGAAGAAGGUCUUCGGAUUGUAAACUUUUGUCUUAUGGGAAGAAAGCAAUGACGGUACCAUAGGAGGAAGCCACGGCUAACUACGUGCCAGCAGCCGCGGUAAUACGUAGGUGGCGAGCGUUGUCCGGAAUUACUGGGUGUAAAGGGCGUGUAGGCGGCAUAUUAAGUCAGAUGUGAAAUUUCCGGGCUUAACCCGGGGGCUGCAUUUGAAACUGAUGUGCUUGAGUGCAGGAGAGGAAAGCGGAAUUCCUAGUGUAGCGGUGAAAUGCGUAGAUAUUAGGAGGAACACCAGUGGCGAAGGCGGCUUUCUGGACUGUAACUGACGCUGAGACGCGAAAGCGUGGGGAGCAAACAGG
rnacentral:rRNA from 2 species